GAUGAACGCUGGCGGCGUGCCUAAUACAUGCAAGUCGAGCGAACGGACGAGAAGCUUGCUUCUCUGAUGUUAGCGGCGGACGGGUGAGUAACACGUGGAUAACCUACCUAUAAGACUGGGAUAACUUCGGGAAACCGGAGCUAAUACCGGAUAAUAUUUUGAACCGCAUGGUUCAAAAGUGAAAGACGGUCUUGCUGUCACUUAUAGAUGGAUCCGCGCUGCAUUAGCUAGUUGGUAAGGUAACGGCUUACCAAGGCAACGAUGCAUAGCCGACCUGAGAGGGGGAUCGGCCAAAACGGAACUGAGACCCGGUCCAGACUCCUACGGGGGGCAGCAGUAGGGAAUUUGCCGCAAUGGGGGAAAGCCUGGCGGGGCAACGCCGCGGGAGGGAAUAAGGUCUUCGGAUCGGAAAACUCUUUUAUUAGGGAAGAAAAUUUGGUUAAGUAACCGUGCACCUCUUGACGGUACCUAAUCAAAAAGCCACGGCUAACUACG
rnacentral:rRNA from 1 species